rnacentral:lncRNA from 1 species
AAAAAUAUGUAUACUAGUACAGUGAUAAUGGACGUCAUACUAAACUCCGAAUUAUACACAAGAAACUAAAAUUAAAAAUCAUACAACACGAACAAAGGCCAGAGGCUCCUGACUUGGGACAGGCGCAAACUUGCAGCGGGGUUAAAUAUGUUUAUGAGAUCUCAACCCUCCCCCUAUACCUCUAGCCAAUGUAGAAGAGUAAACGCACAACAAUAAGCA